rnacentral:rRNA from 1 species
AUUCGAUACUGGGAAGCUAGAGUAUGGGAGAGGAUGGUAGAAUUCCAGGUGUAGCGGUGAAAUGCGUAGAGAUCUGGAGGAAUACCGAUGGCGAAGGCAGCCAUCUGGCAUAAUACUGACGCUGAGGUACGAAAGCAUGGGGAGCAAACAGGAUUAGAUACCCUGGUAGUCCAUGCCGUAAACGAUGUCUACUAGCCGUUGGGGCCUUUGAGGCUUUAGUGGCGCAGCUAACGCGAUAAGUAGACCGCCUGGGGAGUACGGUCGCAAGACUAAAACUCAAAUGAAUUGACGGGGGCCCGCACAAGCGGUGGAGCAUGUGGUUUAAUUCGAUGCAACGCGAAGAACCUUAUCUGGUCUUGACAUAGUAAGAACUUUCCAGAGAUGGAUUGGUGCCUUCGGGAACUUACAUACAGGUGCUGCAUGGCUGUCGUCAGCUCGUGUCGUGAGAUGUUGGGUUAAGUCCCGCAACGAGCGCAACCCUUUUCCUUAUUUGCCAGCGGGUUAAGCCGGGAACUUUAAGGAUACUGCCAGUGACAAACUGGAGGAAGGCGGGGACGAUGUCAAGUCAUCAUGGCCCUUAUGACCAGGGCUACACACGUGAUACAAUGGUCGGUACAAAGGGUUGCUACCUAGCGAUAGGAUGAUAAUCUCAAAAAGCCGAUCGUAGUCCGGAUUGGAGUUUGCAACUCGAGUCCAUGAAGUCGGAAUCGUUAGUAAUCGUGGAUCAGAAUGCCGCGGUGAAUACGUUCCCGGGCCUUGUACACACCGCCCGUCACACCAUGGGAAUUUGUUGCACCAGAAGUAGGUAGUCUAACCGCAAGGAGGACGCUUACCACGGUGUGGCCG